AAAUUCAGAGUUAGCGAAGAUCAGACUUUUGUCCACACUCAGCUCCCAAGCCAGGUUCUUUGAUAUGUGAUCCGCUCACAUCACACUGGAUGAAGGGAAGGAAUGUGCCCAGGGAGGUAUUAUCCUCCUUUUUAUUUUUUUAACAGUGAACAAGUCCAGGUGAAGAGAAAUCAUGUGAUAUCCACUUAUUAACCAAGGCCUCCCAAUAUGCAAAAAAAUCUUUUUUUUUUUUUUUUGACAGUACCUUUCAACACAUUAAGAAAGAAGGGGAGCAGCUUCUGCUGUGAGGACACAGAUUUAGUCUUCUGUGUCUCAAUUCUCUUCAGGGAUUAAAUUCUCAAACACCAGUUUCUCUGAUUAAUGGAACUACAUACUUUUCCUCUUCUACUGAAAACUACAUCUUCUCACUGAGCUCCCAGAGGCACCUGUGAGGAUGACCUAAGGCUGAGCCUAAGCAACUCCAUUUUUAAAAACUCCAGUUUGAAACCUGCAGUCUCACCAGGCACACCCAUAGACCCCUCCAGUUGGCCUCAAACAAGUUACUUCCCCUCACCCUGAUAAACAGAGUGAAGCCCCUGGCGGGCUGUCCUCGCUUAUCAGGCGAGAAGAUCAGGGUGGAGACCACCAGACAGAUGUUUCUGACCCCAGGGUAAAUGAUGUCACUGGUCACCGAGGUCUGAGUGAGUGUGCAUCUGCUGGACAUAAAGCCUAAGGCUUAAGACUUUUGAACUUAGCCUGCAGAGGGAAUGUCUGUCAUUAGCCUGUUAUGAUUAAGUGUGUUUUGCAAUGCUUAGAAUUAAUCUAGAAUUGUUUGCUGUGAAUUAAUUAAUCUAG
rnacentral:lncRNA from 1 species